rnacentral:tRNA from 1 species
GCCUGGGUGGCUCAGUCGGUUAAGCGUCUGACUUCGGCUCAGGUCAUGAUCUCGUGGUCUGUGAGUUUGAGCCCCACAUCGGGCU